UACGGGGGGGGCAAGCGUUGUUCGGAAUUACUGGGCGUAAAGGGCUCGUAGGUGGCCAACUAAGUCAGACGUGAAAUCCCCAGGCUCAACUUGGGAACUGCGUCUGAUACUGGAUGGCUUGAAUUCGGGAGAGGGAGGCAGAAUUCCAGGUGUAGCGGUGAAAUGCGUAGAUAUCUGGAGGAAUACCGGUGGCGAAGGCGGCAUCCUGGACCGAGAUUGACACUGAUGAGCGAAAGCCAGGGGAGCAAACGGG
rnacentral:rRNA from 1 species